rnacentral:rRNA from 1 species
CAGCCGCCACGGUAAUACAGAGGGUGCGAGCGUUAAUCGGAUUUACUGGGCGUAAAGCGUGCGUAGGCGGCUAAUUGAGUCGGAUGUGAAAUCCCCGAGCUUAACUUGGGAAUUGCAUUCGAUACUGGUUAGCUAGAGUGUUGGAGAGGAUGGUAGAAUUCCAGGUGUAGCGGUGAAAUGCGUAGAGAUCUGGAGGAAUACCGAUGGCGAAGGCAGCCAUCUGGCCUAACACUGACGCUGAGGUACGAAAGCAUGGGGAGCAAACAGGAUUAGAUACCCCGGUAGUCCCUGUCUCUUAUAC